rnacentral:rRNA from 1 species
UAGGGAAUCUUCGGCAAUGGACGAAAGUCUGACCGAGCAACGCCGCGUGAGUGAAGAAGGUUUUCGGAUCGUAAAACUCUGUUGGUAGAGAAGAACGUUGGUGAGAGUGGAAAGCUCAUCAAGUGACGGUAACUACCCAGAAAGGGACGGCUAACUCUGCGCCAG